UUUGGAUUCAUAUGAUAUUAAUUUGUUUAACUAAAUUUUAUAGUUGUAGUUUUUAUAUUGAAGGAAAGGGGUCCACUGGUGUUCGUCUCUUGAAAAUAAUUUUACUUUUUGGGGACUUGGCCCUUGUGUUAUGGUUCAUUUAUUUAUCAAAAAUAGUACAUAACCUUCCACAUUAUGAUCUGUCUGCUGGGGUAAGAUAAUCCAACUAUUUUUUAAGGCUAUUUACCCCUGUUGGCACAUUACUAGCUUCCUUGUUGAGAGAUAAAAUAGAAGUUGGUUUCAUAUUUUCCCUAGUCUAAUUUUUAGAAGAACUCACUAUUUUGGGAUUCAUUAACUGUGGAGGUCAUUCCAGUUGAUCUCGUAUCAUUUGCAAUGUCUUGAUUGUGAUUCAAAACCCAUUUAUUUAAUGUUUUAUUUAGGAACUGAUUGCUCUUUGGUAAAAGUGCCUAGCCAGAAAACUUCCAUAUCUCAGUGUGUUCUCCUAAAAAUUUCAGAUCUUAUAGGAUAUUUUAAAUAAAUUGGGGGUGAGGAAAGGGGAAAUGAGGGUGUGGAUUAUGAGGUGGGGAAUCAAAUUGUUGGUAAGGUUUAGGUAUCAACCCAACUAGAUUCCCAUUGGAUAUUAUAGGCAGAAAAAAAAGUUUUUCUAUUGCUUUUCCCAUCACCAUAGCUAAAUUCCAGGUAACCGCUCCACACUCCCUUCUCACUAGUUUUAUUAGCCCCUCCCUUUUCGAGCUUUUUCAGUGUGUACCUAAAAUUUUUUCUUUACAUCUUCCUAUUAUGAUCCCUAAUUUCAUACUAACAGAGGUUCGUUGAAGUAUAAUUGAUUGGUCGGGCCUCCUAAUUCCUAGCUAGGACCUUGAUUCUAGAAAUCUCUUUCUGUAGACUUCUUGUAUAUGGGUAUUGCCCAUAUUUUGUUAACAUAUACUCGGAUCUAGUUGAAUAUAGUCAAGGCUGUAAGUGUAGUUGUGUGGUUAAACUAAGAAAUAAAAUGGGAUGUAGGUUAGAUGUUUUAUUGAGAUGCUACCAAAUUAAAUUCAAUUUCAUUAAUAUACAAAUGGUCGGGCCCCCUGAUUCUUAGCUAUAACCUUGAUAAUGCAAAUCUCUUUCUGUAGAUUAUAUAUGGGCAUUGCUCAUAUUUUAUUGACAUAUCCUCAUAUCUAGUUAAAUAUAGUCAAGGCAGUAUGUGUAGUUAUGUAGUUAAAUUAAGAAUUAAAAUGGGAAAUAAGUUAGAUGUUUUAUUGAGAUGCUACAAAAUGAAAAGUUCAAUUUUAUCAGUAUACAAAUGGAUGGACCUCAUAAUGUUAGCUAGGACCUUGAUACUAGAAAUUUCUCUUUGUAUACUUGUUUCUUCACCUUGCCAAUAGAGAUUUUCUGCUUCUUCCUAGCUUUUCAAAGCUUCAGAAACCUUCCUAGAUAUACUCCAGGAAAUGCCUUUAAGGUUUAAAAAAAUUUUCCAUGGUUGUUGAGUGUAUUUACAAUGUAGAAAUUGAUGAUUACCUUACAUAGUUGUUGAGUGUAUUUGCACAGUUGUUAACUGAUAGUCCAUAGUUGUCCAUAGUUUUUUUGUCAAACUAUCGAUCUUUCCAUUUCUCGCCAAAAAGCUUUUGAGUUACAAGUUCAUAUAGAUGCAGACCAUCUAUUUCUCUCAUAUUUACUAAUCUAGCUACUGUCUACUUACAAGAAACAAUCUAAAUGUAGACAAAAUGUAAGCUUAUACUACGUUAGCUUUUCCAUUCACCUCCACAGUUAAGUACAUUUAUCCAACUUACUAAUAGCAGUUGUCCAUGAGCUUAGUGCUUGUCCUUUGAUAUAAAUAUGGAUGGCAAUUUCUUUGCAUAGUUUAUCCUGCUUAAAAAUUCCUUUCUAAAAUGUGAUCAGGUUUCUUUCUCUCUAUAUGAGUGCACUGCCAUUGCAAAUGUGCAGCUGAUCAAAGUACACUGUCCAGAUUUACCUUUUGCUUUUCUAUUUGCCCAAUUCAACUCUUCUUGCCAGCGCCCAAUUUUUCUUUGUAGACCCAACCUUGCUAAUAUUCUUGUCCAUAGUGCCUUAGUUACAAGGCAUUCAAAGUAUAAGUGGUUUACUGAAUCUGAGCUCGUGUUACAGAAACUGCAUUCCAACGGGACUUGAACACCUAUUCAUUUAUUGCUAAUCAUUUCCAUACUGCUAGAAAUAUUAUGAAUUUGUGUCUCAGGUUUACAGUUGGGUGUAAAGCGAUGUACUUCCUGUCCACCUUUUGUUAGUUAGGGAGAAGAGUUUUAUACAUCUUGAUGGAGAACUUCCCAUUUAUCACCAUUUGUUUCAGCCUAGGUGCCAGGUCUCGUUGCAGAGUAUCAAUCUCCCUUAAACCAAAAUAAAUGGAAGUCUGCUCAUAAAAUAUUUUAAACCAUAUUGACACUUUCGCCAAAGCUUUUGAAUCCUAAUAUACCAAAGCCAAACCUAUAUCAAGUGAAUAUUACCCUUUUGUUGUCAACAACUCAUUUAGUGAGGCCAUUGAUACGACAGAUGAUAUAAAUGAUAAUCAGGUACAAUAACAAGUAAUAGAAAGAGGAGGUACAUAAUACUGUUGAUACGCAUGGGCAUGGUAACAUAAAAAUAAAAAAGCAAAAGAAAAGUGAACCAUCUAAAGCAUACAAUUAGCUUUAUAGUAUAGAACCCAUUACAACAUAGCCCAAACAUCUUACAACAACAAAGCCCUUCAGCACUUCUACAGCCAACUGUCUUCUCUCAAAAAUAUACAAUAAGUUAUAAGCAUGAUGAAAUAAAGCAAUCUAAAGGACACAAGUAAGCAUGUAAGACAUAAAUUAAAGAUGGAAGCAAAACUGAAAGUAAACACAUAUUUCCAUAGCAAUCAUGUAACAGCAGUAGUAUCUUAGAGAAUGGGAACAGUUAACCAACAGGGGUCAAUUAAACUCUUAAAAUAAGAUACAAGAUUGUUGGUCAAAGGUCUAGUUUAGUUUCUUGAAGUCACCUCCAUUGAAGAUACAAUCUAAAUUAUUUUCCCAAACAAGCUUAAGUUUCCUUGGUACUCUAGCUCUUCAAAUACAACUUGCAUAAGAAUCUGGAUAUUCACCCUUCUCCUUAUGUUUUAUAUCAUUCUCAUUAUUUACUAAGAUUUCUUUCUCAUUCCUUGGUACACUAGCUCUUAUUUUUUCAAAAGCUUAUGUUUUCUUCGUACACUACACAUUAGAAUCAUUAACCCUAUUAUUAUUAAUAAAUAACAGUCUUAAUAGAGAAUCAACUAUAGAAUGUAAAUGUCAAACAGUUGCGUUGAUUUCAUCAAAUCAACAUAUUCGGUAGUGUUUAUCUUUGACAUUUAAAUAUUUAUAUAUUUGAUGAACUUUUAUGAUAUUUUUUUUGUUUCCAAGUGAUAUAGGAAAGGGACUAGAGCAAAGACCAAAAUCUUUGAGCUCCUUUUUAGGGGUUUCUAAAAAAAAGUGGAAUCUUUUGGCAAGAGCACCCUAAAUGCUAACCAACAUGUGCGAACUCCAUCUAAAAUCACAAUUUCAAGUUCUACCAUACCUUCUAGUCAAGUAAUGCGAAGAAUGGAUAAAGAUACCUUAGUUCUUGAGAAAGAGAAUAUGCAGGCCAAUAUUUCAUUACCUUUAUCUGUUGAUCAAGUCAUGAACACUCUCAAAAUGUUGAAAAAGGCUCAUCUAAUCGAGGAAAGGUAAAAAGAAUUCGAGGUAGAAAUAAUUGCAAAGAAGUUGCUUCACUUAAAAUUGGAGAAAAAUUGAAAUGAACCUUUUACAAUAAUCAAACGGUUGGAAAAAAUGGCAAACUAUUUUCGAGGCAUUUGGAAAAAAUUAUUCGUGAUCAUAAUAUCUAUUCGCUGGGAGUAUCAUCAUGGAAUGAUAUCAUCCAAGAAAGAUUGAAUCACAUGUGGGCAGCUAUUGAGGAUAAAUUUGAGGGUGUUGAAUUGAGUGGUCAUCAGAAACAUAUUUUGAGAUGGAUGAAUGAGUUAUGGAACAAAUGGAGAGGAUACUUAUAUGGAACAUUUGUGAAGAAUAAGUCACUUCAACAAGCUCUAAAGAAUAAGACAAAUGGAAUAGACAAGAAAGAAUGGGAGUGGUUGGUAAAAGAACAUUUUUCUUCUGAAGCUUUUCAGACUCAAAUAGAAGAAAUAGUGAAUCCAGAGCCAUCUUUAUCUAGCAUAGAGAUUGUUGAAAAGUGUUUUGUACCUCAAAAUAGUAGCCUUGUAGUUUCCUUUGAGGUGGAGUAAAGGUGAAAGACUUAAAAGGUGGCACUUCCUCCAAGGCUAAAUUAUUGUCCACGCUACGUUCUACUCAAAAGGAAAAUAAAUACUUGAAUGAGGAAAAUAAGUUCUUGAAUGAUCGUCUAUCUACCUUAGAAGAUGAGAUGAAAGAAAUAAGAAAAAUAAAAGAAUUCUUUCCUUCUCAACAAUAACAAGUCAGGGCUACAACAUUGCCAAUUUCAAAUAAAUAACUGCCUUAUUCUCUCCAAAAACUUGCUGACAAGAACUCACAAUCUUUGGAUUGGAAGCGAGGCAUGCUUGCAUCUGAACAACUCCAUCUUAUAUACUAGUUUGAUUGGUCAUAUAUCUCAUCCAUCUACUCAGGGACAUGAGAUUGUCAAGAGUGGAAUACUAGAAUAGUUUCUAUAACUUAUUGUGAAGUAGUAGUACCAUUAAUUGGCUGGAUCAUUUGACUUACUUGUAGUACCAUUAAUUGGUUGGGUCAUUCAACUAGUAAAAUCUUGAACAGAUAGCAUAUAAAAUUUGUUCAUCAAUGUAUAACUUAUAUCUUUUGAA